GUAUUAAACAGUACAGGGUCCAAAGCAGGAGCCCAUCCUGGAAGGGAUGCCAGGAAUAAUGGCUGAAUAUACAAUAUUCUUACAGGAUAGUGAUCUCCCAGACUGCCAUCAUAAUUGGAAAAUUGGGCAUCCUCUUACCAGUACAAAAACAACACACAUCUGAUCACUCAAGAAAAUAUCUACAUGUGAAUUGAAUCCACACAAGGAAAUCCUGCCUGACUGUGCUGAUCUCACUACCGGUUCCAGUUCUCCUGACGUCACUACUGGUUCUGCACCUCAGAGACACACUCCUUCCUUCCUGUCAACCCACUAUAUAUUGAUUAAUAUACCUCAGUUCUGUUUUGAACUCAGUCUGUAAAGAUCAAUAUGACUUCUUUAUUUUUUCCUUUUUUUCAAGUAUACAGAGUAUUUACCCCAAAUCUUCAUAUUUCUAUUUGUGAUUAUUUCCAUGGCCCAUUUGCUCAUUAUCUAAGCCCAUAGUGCCUCAGGCACAACAACCCUUUCUCACUCAAUUCCUAAACCCUCUCCUAUACUUGCUCUGUAUUCUUGGCUCACAGUUUCUUGUUGCCCCAAUUCUACCUCUCUACUCCGAGCUCAGUCAGCCUAUAACAAGGAACAGUCAGCUGAAUAAGUUUCAGGGUCAGGAAUGCCCUCAGAUAGACCUGGCACUAUCCCCCUGGUGGCUCCAGAUAUCUGUGCAGUCUUUAGCAUCACUUAAAAUGCUUCUAGAAUACUGUUUGAAAAUAGAUUGUAUAUUGUCCUAGGACACAGUUUACCUACAUGAUUUAUUAUAGGUUAUUCCUUUGUUUUCUUGUUAAUUAACAAUCAUAUUUUUAUACCCACUUUACAGGUAAACUCUUUUUAAUGGUAUGCAGCGGUCUCAAUGAUUCUAGCACUUUUUAAAGCAGCGCCUAACAUGGGGUCAAGGUCAAUGAAUGUGACUAACUUGUGCUCCUGGAGAAGAAAUGACAGCCAUCUCACGUUUGAUAUAAAAUGAGUUGGAUCCAAGACCUGGAGUUCAAUACUUCAAUGUGAGUCUGUCUAAUUAAUAUAACUAGAAAAUGGAAAAUAAGAA